ACAACAUAUCAGAGAUUAAUAGGUAAGUUGUUGUAUCUCAACAUGACUAAACCAGAUAUAUCUUUAAGCACUCAAACUUUGAGUCAGUUUUUACACCAACCUAAGAAGUCUCAUAUGAAUGCUGCAUUGAAAGUGGUUAGAUAUAUGAAGAGACAACCUGGACAAGGGUUGUUGCUAUCUAGUUGUUCAGAUGGAUUGGUGACUGCCUUCUUUGUAACAAACUUGUAACAACCUUCAAUUAGUUAGUUGAAGAUAGUUAGUUACUAGUUUAAGAAGAGAACUAUAUACAGCACCUCAUUUUCUUGUACAAGUUAAGCUUUUCAAUCAUCAAUGAGAGUCUUCUCAAAUUAAUGAUUUUCCUCCA